CAUUCUGAUGAUUUAACCUUUACAUUUAUAACUUUCGUUCUACCGACUGCGAUCAAACGAUCUUGUGGAAACCUUUACUCUGAUU
rnacentral:snoRNA from 1 species